rnacentral:lncRNA from 1 species
AGCGACAACAAGCGUCAAGAAGCGACAACAAGCGACAACAAGCGACACACAGAAUUAUUUUAGCGACAACAAGCGACAAUAAGACUAUUUAGCGACAAUAAAACAUUUUUUUUUUUAUUAGAUAUAAAGAAAUUUGUAUUUAAUGUUUUUUUUUAAUAUAUGAGCAGAUAUGUCUAAUUAAAAUGUUUUAUUAUAUAGAUAGACGAAGAAAGGACACAUUUGUGAGGAAGAAAGAGAUUGUGAAGUUUAUAUUAGUAUAUUGGUAGAUGAAGAAAUUAAAUAUUUGUGAAGAAGAAAGAGAUUGAGCUUCUUUUUUUAAUUUUUAAAUAUGAAGAAUAUGUAUAAGAUAAUGUAUGUAUCUGUUUUCAUCAAAGUCAAAGUAUGAAUAAACGAAUGGAGAUAUAUAUGGAGCGGGCAUAAUGGAAUAUAAUAUUUUGAUUCAUUUGCUUAAUACUAUGCUCUAAGUGUACUCUUGUUAUGUCAAUUCGAUGCUUUAUUUGUAGAACUCUCAGCCACGCUUUGCCAUCUUUAUUAUUAAAGCGUGUUUCCAGACCUCACGACGAGGACGUGGUUCUACAUUGGGGUCCAUAUAAUUUUUUUUUUUUUUUUUUUUUUUUUUUUUUUUUUUUUUUUUUUUUUUUUUAGUCAUUAUAUAGUAAUAUGUACAUUCUUAUCUAACAUAAUAUUUAUACAUUUUGUACAUGGUGGUCCCAUUUUGAUAAGCCGUAGAUUUUUACCACUAAGGUUCACUGUAUUUUUGCCCUUUUUGAAGUUGUAGUUUUAGCAUUUUUAAUACGUUUCCGUUGGCAAGGUUUACGUGCACAUGCACUUGUUUUGGGGAUUGUCAGCCACCAUCUGUUGAAGUGGUGGACUCUGGGAUUGCGUUUAACUUUCUCCAUGAGUCAAGAAUUUUUUGCAAUGCAAAAGCCUUUUCUUUUUCCGAUUUAAUCUGCCAUAGAGCUUUUGUGCAUUGAAAAUGGCUUACUGAGGAGCUUAGCUCAAAGUCUCCAUGUCCAUAAAGUGCGCCAUUGACAAGACUUUCUUGCAACUUUAUUUCUUUGUGAAUUUUAUUAAUUAACUCUGGAAGUUUCUCAGGCUUCCAAUCUUGAUUUAGUUUCAAGAUGUGAUUGAUUGAUUCACAAUUAUUGUUUUUCCAUUGCAAUGGAAUUCUCGACUCUGUUUUUCGAGCAUUGUACACGUAAUCCCUUAUAGUAGGAAUAACUUUUUGCGUAAGAUAUGGACCAACGAGGUCUUCAUAUUUUCUUUCAAUAUCAGUAACCUUAGUGGAAAAAUCUACCGUCGUAUCUGCUUCUAUCAGACCGUUAUCCCCAAAUAAGUCUGAUAAAAUUUGUUUUGCGUUCUUGUCAUUAACGCCGACCUUUGUUCUCAAAUGCCUUGUAACAUUUUCACUCAAGUGCCUUGUGCACAAUGUGAGUUCAGAUGUUGGGAAACUGUCUUUGAUAGCUUUUACUAAAGCCUUUUCAAAAAAAAAAAGGUCAACUUUCCUUUGAAGGAUUUAUUGAAACAAAAACAUGAAAUAUAAUUUCCUUUCUAACAGUAUAAUUCAUUGUUCUUGAUAGGAACAACAUUAGAUGUGGCUUCACCCUAAGGUAAUAACAGUACACACAAUGUGGAACAUCAAAUGAGAUUAACGAGGCGUGUGUCUCCUGUUUUAUUGCUACAAUAACAUCCAAUUAACACUUUCAACUUUGUACACGCGUCAGACUAUACAAUUACACGCGCCAGAAUAUACAAUCAUUGUAAAUGUGAACACCUGUUGAAAACUCAAGAUUGUCAUUAAUUUCCUUUCAUCUUUAAUCAAUAUGCAUAAACAUGAUAAAUAUCGUUUAAUGAGGCAAUAAUU